rnacentral:rRNA from 1 species
UACGUAGGGGGCAAGCGUUGUCCGGAAUCAUUGGGCGUAAAGCGCGCGUAGGCGGCCCGGUAAGUCCGUUGUGAAAGUCAAAGGCUCAACCUUUGAACGCCGAUGGAUACUGCCGGGCUAGAGUCCGGAAGAGGCGAGUGGAAUUCCUGGUGUAGCGGUGAAAUGCGCAGAUAUCAGGAGGAACACCAAUGGCGAAGGCAGCUCGCUGGGACGUGACUGACGCUGAGACGCGAAAGCGUGGGGAGCAAACAGG